rnacentral:piRNA from 1 species
UAGGUCAGGAUGAUGCCCUGGUGCAUGGC